UAAGCAAAGGAAUUUCAAGAGCAACUAGGUUAGAAAAGAAAAACGUUUUCCAGACAGUGCUGGACUGCUCACCUGGUCUCUGCAGAUGUGCUGGUGUUUCCAGGCUCAGGGACAGGCCUUGUCCAGGACAGCUGUCUCGUCAAAAUUACUUGCAGGGCCAAACAGAUGUGUCAGUUCUGAUGCCAAAUGGAAAAAAGUGGGUCCAAGAGGAAAGUAAAAGUGGAAAAAGCACUUGUUUGGGGAGAUGAAAAUAAGCUUCUUGAGAUUCUCCAUUGGGAACAAACAACGGUAUCAGACUUUUUAUCUGGUCUUCAUAUGGAGAGGUAUUUCCAAUGGGAGUGCAUCUUUGCAGACAUUCCAG
rnacentral:lncRNA from 1 species